rnacentral:tRNA from 1 species
GCCUGGGUGGCUCAGUUGGUUAAAGCAUCCGACUUCAGCUCAGGUCAUAAUUUCAUGGUUCAUGGGUUCAAGCCCUGUGUCGGGCU